AAUGAACGCAGGCGGCAGGCCUAACACAUGCAAGUCGAACGGGUCCUUCGGGACUAGUGGCGGACGGGUGAGUAACGCGUGGGAACGUGCCCUUUGCUUCGGAAUAGCCCCGGGAAACUGGGAGUAAUACCGGAUGUGCCCUUUGGGGGAAAGAUUUAUCGGCAAAGGAUCGGCCCGCGUUGGAUUAGGUAGUUGGUGGGGUAAUGGCCUACCAAGCCGACGAUCCAUAGCUGGUUUGAGAGGAUGAUCAGCCACACUGGGACUGAGACACGGCCCAGACUCCUACGGGAGGCAGCAGUGGGGAAUCUUAGACAAUGGGGGAAACCCUGAUCUAGCCAUGCCGCGUGAUCGAUGAAGGCCUUAGGGUUGUAAAGAUCUUUCAGCUGGGAAGAUAAUGACGGUAACCGGAGAAGAAGCCCGGCUAACUUCGUGCCAGCAGCCGCGGUAAUAC
rnacentral:rRNA from 1 species